CAUCCAUGAAGAAAACUGAGAGGAGACAGAAUGGGACAAAGGGAUGAAAAGUUGCAUGGGCACCUUCUACUCCAGGAAAUUCAUGGGAUAUACCAAAGGAAGAAGCAACAAACUUGGAAGGAUUUGACAGAAUCUUGUGACUAUGUCAGGGCUGAUGCCUGUCCACACCACCAAUGAGAGUGCCAGACUGGAUGCCUGUCCCACAAAUUUGACUUCUCUUGAGGUGCCUGUCAUGAGAUCCAGGGGAGCAUCAGUGUCACUCAAACAACUGGACUGAAUAUCUCUAUCACUCAUGAUCAGUAUGAAGCAUGGGAAGAGGACACACUGGGCUCCCACCAGCCAGCACCAAAGCACUUUUGACAGGAUCCUGCAUUAAUUGUCCACCUGACAGACAAGGGGCCUGCAGUUUGCCACAGAGAGGUUCCCCAUCUGGCCUGUGAAACAUUUACACUGUCCCAUGCCCUCAACCUCCAUGAACGGACAAAGGGAACUGAUGUGAACUCAAUAUGCAACCCACCACCUUUCACAAAGAGACUGGGCAGGAAAUCCAAAAUCAACAUCUUGGCCCCAGGCAAGACACCCACCCAGUUCUCCAAACAGAUUUGUCAGAACCCCAAAAAGACUGAGACUCAGCCUGUUCCAAACACCCCAGCAAAGUACUCAGUUGCCCGAUCAGGAGAAAGCCCAGAGUCUCAAGGCUCCCUGCAUUACAUCUUAACUAGUACACAGAGAGGCACCCCAAGUGAUCAUGAGGACACCUGUACAGGAGGUGGGCACAGACCUCCAAGUUCCAGUCAAGAGAACUCAGAUGAGUACCAUCCAGGCCUGCACUGCAUCCCAAAUUCCACCACCAAGUGAUGACCUAGAGUUCCCCCUCAAAAUUGUCUUCACCAUACUGGAAAAUGGAUGGUGGAGCUCCAGGAUUAGAACCUCCACCACAUCCCAAAAUCCUGAGAAGACUUCAUUUGCUGGGCAAACCCUCCUGUCUUAGAAGGGGUCCAGGCACACUGUCCCCAGUGAUCCCUUGAGAAUCCCAUAUGAGGAAGUUAUGGUUUCCUCUUCUGAGGAGAGUGACUGGGAGUGAGGCUGCACAGGGCAUUGUAGGCUACCCUCUCCCAUGACAUGACUUGGUGGCCACUGAAAGCCUGAGGAGGGAAAGGAUGCAUGGGGCAGCUGUGUCUGGAGAAUCAGGCUUCCCCAUCAUUUUUAGGUGUGCCCUUUCUGGAACCACAGAUCACAUUGUGUAUGGACACACAGGCACUGCCAAAUUUAACUUUGUAGAUUGGAGUUGCAAUUAAAAAGGUGUGAUUGUAUCCAAGCUGAAUGGGUUCUGUCGACUGGAUUAGAGAGCAUCCAAUCACGGGACAGUCAUCAGCAUUAGGUUGGCCCCAGGAGGAUACCGCCACCACUGACUUUUACACACGGAUUCUUGAAGUCACAUCCAUUCAAGUGGGGUUUGCCCAGCACCUACCAGCCUGCACUCUAGUGGCAGACAGCAGUAUUGCAGCUGGACUUCAGGGUGGUUUCCAUUUUGAAGCUCAGUUCAUCCCUCAGAGAAAUAGUUCAGUGGGAGAAAAACAUCGUGUUUCUUUCUACAUAUUUUGGGUAGCUUUGGGGUUGGAUUUAGAAUUCUUCAAGCCUUCAAACUAUUCCUUAGUUGAGUGAUGGACCAAAUAUACAAUUCUGAAUGCCAGAUAAUCUGAGAAGAUCCAGAUUUCAAAGACACCUGGCUUAGUAAAUUGGGUAGGACAAAGAAUGUGCAGCAAUGGAAAGGAUAUUUGGUCCAAAGGACCUUAAAGAAUAAACGCUCAGUUCCUUCCCACUUACUUCAACUCUCUUCAUGACACUAAUCAGAGAAACAAGUUAAAUAAUAGGUGAGCUGUUUAAAGCUGCCAGUGUGGCAAUCUCCUCCCACCGUUGGGAAGAUCUCAUAGCAGAGAGAAUUGUUGUUUUAGUCUGUUGUUGUAAAGGCCUCUACUCAUGUCAAGCAAGUUAGUUUGAAUUUUGCAAGGAAGAGCUUUGUUUAUUCUAGAGUUUUGACUAUGUCUCAUGCUGGAGUUGGGGUGACAUUCUCAGUGUAUUCUAUUCUUUCUACCAGUGUAGAAAUGUUGCCCUAAUUUUCUUAGUGAGCUCUGUAAAUUUAGAACAUCUCAGAGACUGCCAGUGCAGGCAUUGAAAGGUGGUGAUCCCAAUUCUACACUGAUAAGUUGCAAGUUUUGACUGAUGCAGUGUGCCAGUUUGGAUAUAUUCUGUUCCCACAAAAAGCCAUGUUCUUUAGUGCAAGCUUGUGGGGGUGGAUUUAUUAUGCUUUUGAUUAAUUUGGAAAAUGUUCUUUGGGUGUUUCCCUGGAGCUGUGACUCACCCAGCUGUGGGUGAUGAUUAUGAUUGCAUAAUUGACCUGGAGCUGUGGCCCCACCCAUUCUGGGUGGGUCUUGAUUAGUUCGCUGGAGUAUUUCAGACAGAAUCCCAGAGGAUUGCUGAGUCUUAAAGAUGCUUGGAGUUGCAGACAGAAAGGUGCUUGGAUAUACUAAGCCAAGAGAUGAAACCCAGCAUUUGAGCACAACAGGUCAGUGCAUGCAAUUCACAGAACUUCCCAGCUGAGAGAGCUCUUCCAGAUGCCAUCAGAUUUUCCUCAGUGAAUGUAUCUUUUCAUUGAUGCCGUAGCCUGGAACCUUCAAAACCCUUGGAACUGUAAGUUUGCAACCUAAUCAAGCCCCUGUAAAAAAAAGCCAAUUCAUUUCUGGUAUUUUGCCUAAUGGCAGCACUACCUCUCCAGAACACCUGAGAUUCCAUUAAGAGGGGAGCUAAUCAUGGCAGCGGGUGGUCAGUGUCAGAGAAAGGGACAUUGCUUCCCAAGGAGAGCAGAACAGGGGAUAUAUUAAAUGUUACCCUUUGAGAAA